UGGUCAUAUACCAAGGCUUUUAGGAAGCUUUGUUCCUGACUUGCUGUGGACAUGACCGAAUAUUAAAGCUCAUCCCUGUGAAUUGCUUCAGCAUCUGCUGUCGUGAUCCACUGGGAACAUGU
rnacentral:snoRNA from 1 species